UUUGACAAUGAGAAGUUUCUGGUAAUGCAUAGUAGUAUGUUUUAAGAUAAUAUUUAGCUAGUGGCACAUUGCACCUCCUGUUAUAAUUAAGGUAUUUUUUGUGUUAAAUACAUAAUUUUAAAAUGUUUGCUAUGAUAAAUAUAAUGUUCUGUUACAGGUUUUCUAUGGUAAGUCUUCAGCAUUGACUACAUUGAGAAUUCUUGGAAAAUAUGUUUCAAAUUUAAAAAACUUAAUGUACUCAAAGUUCUUGCGUAACACUCCUUUUACUUAUAUUGUAGCUACUUAGUGUGGGUCUUUUACUUGCUUUCAAUUUAUUUAUUUAUUUAACAAAUAUUCACUAUGGGCCAAGCACUAUAAUAGUAAACAAGUGAUAGUGAUGAACAAAACAAACACAUUCCCUGUUUUCC
rnacentral:lncRNA from 1 species